rnacentral:rRNA from 1 species
UACGGUGAGGGAUGAAAGCUGGGGGAGCAAACCGGAUUAGAUACCCGGGUAGUCCCAGCUGUAAACGAUGCAGACUCGGUGAUGCAUUGGCUUGUGGCCAAUGCAGUGCCGCAGGGAAGCCGUUAAGUCUGCCGCCUGGGAAGUACGUACGCAAGUAUGAAACUUAAAGGAAUUGGCGGGGGAGCACCACAAGGGGUGAAGCCUGCGGUUCAAUUGGAGUCAACGCCG